UACAGAGGUCCCGAGCGUUGUUCGGAUUCAUUGGGCGUAAAGGGUGCGUAGGCGGCGGGGCAAGUCUGAUGUGAAAUCCCGGGGCUCAACCCCGGAACUGCAUUGGAUACUGCCUUGCUCGAGUACUGGAGAGGGAACUGGAAUUUACGGUGUAGCAGUGAAAUGCGUAGAGAUCGUAAGGAAGGCCGGUGGCGAAGGCGAGUUCCUGGACAGUUACUGACGCUGAGGCACGAAGGCCAGGGGAGCAAACGGG
rnacentral:rRNA from 1 species